CGUAGCACCCACCACCCGAUCCACUCCCACCUCACCAAUCCCUUCGUGAACCUCACCCACCCCUCGGUCGAACUCCUCUUCUCCCCCACGAUCUCGUCGCCGCCACCACCACCCACGCUGGGACGAGACGGGUCGCCGCCGUGUCCCCCUUCUUCUUCUUCUUCUUCUUCUUCACCGGCUUGUCCCCCUUCUUCUCCAAGGACGCUGCCAUCUCUCCUUCUUCUUCUCUGCCGCCGCCGCCUUCUCCCCCUUCUCCUUCUUCUCUGGCGCCGCCGCCUUCUCCCCUUCUCCUUCUUCUUCGGGGUGGCUGCCUUCUCCAUCUCACCCUUCUUCUUCUUUGGGGUGGCCGCCUUCUCCCCCUUCCCCUACUUCUUCGGGGUCGCCGCCCCCCACGUAGCUCUUCUCGGGAUCUGGAGCAGAGCCCUCGCCGGACCCGGUGGGGGAGGCGACCAUCUUAGGCCUCCCAGGCCCGCACUUGGCAAUGGAGCCUGGACUCGCGGUGGUAGCGGCGGGGACGAGAUCCUUCUUAGGCCUCCCAGGCCCAUGCUUACAGUGGAGCCGGGGCUGGCGCCGGCGCCGGCGGCAGGGACGGGUCCUUCUUAGGUCUACCGGGCCCGCGCUUGGUAGUGGAGCUGGGGACGACGGCGCUCUCCUCGCCCUCGGAAGGCGCAGUGCUCAGCGCCGCUGGCUUCUUCCCGGCCAUGCCCACCUCUCUCCUCCUGCACAUUAUUAGGCCUCUCUCUUCCCGGAUUUAAACAUUUUUUUCUAACCAUGUGGUACAUGCGCCUGCACAUUCUUGUUUAUCUAACUGAUGUGUGCACGGUGCUUCCAUGUUUGUCAUCUUUAGCUACAAACUAUGUCUGUCAAGUACAAUAGCUUCAGACAUCAGUUGGGCCCUUUGUUGAAAGCAGGAAAGAGGUUUCAGUGAUUUUACUAACGGACUACACAGUUUGGUAGUAUCUUUGGAUGAUAUACUGAAAAGUGAAAACUAUGCUCUGUUCAUUCAGUUAAGUUUGGAGGAAUGCACAUGGAUUUGAGUGUGUCACAUUGUCUCUAGUCAUUCUGAUUUUCCAGAGUGGAUAAGUUUUUUGUCCUCGCGAUGGAUGUUGUUGAUUCAUCCGCGGCCUCGCAGAUUAGAUUUGGCUGACUGACUGGCUGACGGUCAGGUUUCUUGUCCUCAUGAUGGAUGUUGCUUUGCAGGUGGCUAGGAUCUCCGCCUUCGGCGUCGGUGUCGUCUACAGCUCCGUGAAGCUCGGCAUCCUCAAGGUAGAAGAUAGCGCCAGAGUGGGAAGGUUUGUGCAGAGAUCUUACCUCGAGGCUAUCACGGGUGGGCACAACAUGACACGGAAUUGGCCAAAAAUAGGGAACUACAAGAUGAACAUUUAAAGGUUAAGACCUCACUGUCUACUUGAACGAAGAGAUUUGAAGAGUUGCACAAGGUACAUAUGUCAUUGCUAAAGAUCCACACUCCAAUCCUUUCCGCGUAUGGGGCAAUGAGAUAUUCAUGAACCAGCAUCAAGUAAGGAAACUGAUAAAGAUUGUUAUUAAAAUGGGUCAAAAGAUGUCAAUCGAACUAUUUGUUUACACUUUAUGCAAGACAAAGGGUGAACUGUAGGAUGUGGAUCCUGAAGCGGUUUAAUCAAGAUUAUCUUUCAAACUACAUGAUUGGCGGCCGACCAUCACAAGGGGUUGGACUAGAGUCGUGCGUGCCUUCUGUAUCUAGGAGAGCAUAAUAGGGCCAUUCCGCUUCACUUUGUUCAGCAACCAAAAUGUCUGUCACCUCUUUCUUUACCAUCUGUAAUAAGUAUAGAACCUUGGUUCAUCAUUUUUUAUUUGGUGCUUAUGUAAUUCUUAAACAUAUGUACCUGUGAAUCGAAUAAUGCAUUGGUUGUUUGAACCUGAUGGAUAUGAAUAAAGGUAUAGCCUACUUUCAAGUUUAAA